ensembl:lncRNA
CUCUAAUGUCCUGGUCAUUGCUUGCGCUGUCGGAGUAUCAUUCAUUCUCACCAUCAUCACUGUUAUCAUCUGUAGACGUAUUAGGGUGCCCUGCUGUCCCUGACCCUCUGUAUUGUCCCUGGGUUGGAGGACACCGGAGACAGAGGUGUUCAAACAACGGUUCUUUAAUAAAAUUAAAGAAACCAUCCAAGAACAAGACACAGCAAUGUCAGUUGAUAUCUUACAUCCGGAUCCUGACUUAUUUAGGAUGGCCUUAUCUUACGUUUUGUAAAAUGACCUGAUGAAGGUCCCAAAACGUUGUUCCUGUGACAUCUUUUUGAUAUUGCAAGAGACACAGACAGUGUGCAGGAGUUUUCUUCUACACCCACGCAUGUCAGCAUAUUUCAGUAAACUACAUCCAAUGAGGAUAAUCGCCACUGGGAUGCCCUCUUUCCAAAGCCAUUCUCGGGCAGGGUCACUGGCUUGUUGUUGGCCCUCUGUGGCACCCUUUGAGCAAUUGGAGUGUACUCUGCUGGCAAUACUCGUGCCUCAUUCAGGGUGGUUGUGGUUGGUCUCCCUUUGGUUGAUGCUUGGCAAUGUGUGUGGAUUGACAUCCUGCCAUUUGGGCCCUGUCUGGGGCCUCCCUCGGAAAGGGCCACAGUGUCACUGGACCCCCCUGUCUCAGCCCCAAAGAUAACAGAAAUCACCCAAAUGGUCCUGAUCAAAAGUUUACAUACCCUUGAAUGUUUGGCCUUGUUACAGACACACAAGGUGACACACACAGACACACAAGGUGAAAAUGGCAAUUAAAGGUGAAUUUCCCACACCUGUGGCUUUUUAAAGUGCAAUUAGUGUCUGUGUAUAAAUAGUCAAUGAGUUUGUUAGCUCUCACGUGCAUGCACUGAGCAGGCUAGAUACUGAGCCAUGUGGAGCAGAAAAUAACUUUCAAAAGUUGUGUAAAAACAUUAUGGAACAUUAUACAUUUGGAAAAGGAUUUAAAAAGACAUCCAAAGCCUUGCAAAAUCCAAUCAAUACUGUGAAAAUUCUGGGAUCUCUUGAUUCCAAGCUAAGGUCAGGUAGACCAAGAAUUAUUUCAGCCAAAACUGCCAGAAGAAUUGAUCGGGAUACAAAGAAAAACCCACAGGUAACCUCAGGAGAAGUCCAUGCUGCUCAGGAAAAAGACGGUGUGGUUGUUUCAAGAAGCACAAUAUGACAAUAUUUUGAGUUGACUGAAAGAAGGCUUUACUGCGCCAAUGCCACAAAAAAGCCUGGUUACAACAUGCCCGAC